rnacentral:rRNA from 1 species
GGGGGAAACCCNCCUUAGUUGCCAGCAUUCAGUUGGGCACUCUAAGGAGACUGCCGGUGUUAAACCGGAGGAAGGUGGGGAUGACGUCAAGUCCUCAUGGCCCUUAUGUCCAGGGCUACGCACGUGCUACAAUGGCCGGUACAAAGGGUAGCGAGACCGCAAGGUUGAGCGAAUCCCAAAAAGCUGGUCUCAGUUCGGAUGGGAGUCUGCAACUCGACUCCAUGAAGUUGGAAUCGCUAGUAAUCGCGGAUCAGCAUGCCGCGGUGAAUACNUNCCCGGGCCUNGNA